AGGAGUCCGGCUUUCUCUAUUGUGCGUGUUUGGCUUGGGGUUUUGCAAGGAUCCGGCUAGGGUUCUAGACCUAGGGUUUCUGUUCUGGAUCGAGAACUUGAGAUCUUGAUUUGGUAUUUAGGUUCCAGGUAGUCCUCCAUCCUAUUUAUACUUGUACAUUGAUCGGAAGUUGUUAAGGCUGUUUGAUAAUAUAGAACAUUUCUGAUCUCAAUGCAAGCCUUGCAUUCAUAAGAUGGCACAACUUCUUCACACUCGAGAAUUACCUCAUUGCAGGCAGCAGCACCGCCAUCAUCAAUUCAUCAUCGACCCAAUUGGCUUCUUGAGGCCAUUAAAUUGAAUAUUGUCGUUCGAUCCUUCCUUCUCUUCAAUUCAUCAGGUUAUAUUGUUGAGAUUGCUUAAAAUCUAUGCUGUUAACCGGCAUUCGGAAACAGUUGGAUUUUCUUUGCAAGUGACUAGUUCUUAUGGGUGAUUGAUUAACAAUCGCUAUUAAUAUGUUUCAUUUCUGCUGGCCUGAAUUUUGUCUUACCAUUGGCCAUGAACUAUGAUUGCAGGAUUUUAGAAGAGAAGAAAAUCCAUCAAAGAUGGUAAAUUUGUGUUAACUUUCAGGAUCAUAUUCACAAAUUACAAAUAAAAGUGAAGAACACAUGAGCAUUACAGGAUCAUAUUGGUUUUGAAACAUGUCAAAAACGAGCUGAUACAAAGAAAGUCCUCAAGAGUCUUCUCUACAAGACGACCAUUUUUCAGGGAAUGGCAGAUGAGAAAUUCAGGUCAUGUGUGGACGCAUAUAAAUAUAUCUUUGUAUGAUACACCUGUCGCUUUCUGCCUGAGGUAAUUUUAUUUAUUUGUGUACAAAGAAAAUAAGGACUUCAUUAGUGGGGUUGAUUAGAUUAAAGCUGAUUGUAGAAGUACUAGAUAACUAUAUUGAAUUCUCUUUAGGUUAAAGUUUGUGUAUUGUGUUGUUUCAAUUUCUUAUGAACCUUCUUAUGGUUUUGAAUUUGAUGAUCAAAACAAAUGGACAAUAAAGUACUCUUCAAUAAUACCCAAAAAUGAAAGUACUUGAUAA